AGCUCCAAUAGCGUAUAUUAAAGUUGUUGCAGUUAAAAAGCUCGUAGUUGGAUUUCGGGAUGGGCCAGUUGGUCGGCCGCAAGGUCUGUUACUGACUGGUUUGUUCUUCUUCGCAAAGACUGCGUGUGCUCUUUAUUGAGUGUGCGUAGGAUUUACGACGUUUACUUUGAAAAAAUUAGAGUGUUCAAAGCAGGCUAUCGCUUGAAUACAUGAGCAUGGAAUAAUGGAAUAGGACUUUGGUUCUAUUUUGUUGGUUUCUAGGGCCGAAGUAAUGAUUAAGAGGGACAAUUGGGGGCAUCCGUAUUUCGUUGUCAGAGGUGAAAUUCUUGGAUUUACGAAAGACGAACAACUGCGAAAGCACUUGCCAAGAGUGUUUUCAUUAAUCAAGAACGAAAGUAGG
rnacentral:rRNA from 1 species